rnacentral:rRNA from 1 species
GACGAACGCUGGCGGCGUGCCUAAUACAUGCAAGUCGAGCGAAUCAAUAGGAGCUUGCUCCUGUUGAUUAGCGGCGGACGGGUGAGUAACACGUGGGCAACCUGCCUGUAAGACUGGGAUAACACCGGGAAACCGGUGCUAAUACCGGAUAAUCCAUUCCCUCUCAUGAGGGAAUGCUGAAAGACGGUUUCGGCUGUCACUUACAGAUGGGCCCGCGGCGCAUUAGCUAGUUGGUGAGGUAACGGCUCACCAAGGCGACGAUGCGUAGCCGACCUGAGAGGGUGAUCGGCCACACUGGGACUGAGACACGGCCCAGACUCCUACGGGAGGCAGCAGUAGGGAAUCUUCCG